GACGAACGCUGGCGGCGUGCCUAAUACAUGCAAGUAGAACGCUGAAGAGAGGAGCUUGCUCUUCUUGGAUGAGUUGCGAACGGGUGAGUAACGCGUAGGUAACCUGCCUUGUAGCGGGGGAUAACUAUUGGAAACGAUAGCUAAUACCGCAUAACAAUGGAUGACACAUGUCAUUUAUUUGAAAGGGGCAAUUGCUCCACUACAAGAUGGACCUGCGUUGUAUUAGCUAGUAGGUGAGGUAAUGGCUCACCUAGGCGACGAUACAUAGCCGACCUGAGGGGGUGAUCGGCCACACUGGGACUGAGACACGGCCCAGACUCCUACGGGAGGCAGCAGUAGGGAAUCUUCGGCAAUGGGGGCAACCCUGACCGAGCAACGCCGCGUGAGUGAAGAAGGUUUUCGGAUCGUAAAGCUCUGUUGUAAGUCAAGAACGGGUGUGAGAGUGGAAAGUUCACACUGUGACGGUAGCUUACCAGAAAGGGACGGCUAACUACGUG
rnacentral:rRNA from 1 species